rnacentral:rRNA from 1 species
AUUGAACGCUGGCGGCAGGCUUAACACAUGCAAGUCGAACGAGUGGCGGACGGGUCAGUAAUGCCUGGGACUCUAGCUUAUGGAGGGGGAUAACUACUGGUAACUGUAGCUAAUACCGCGUACCAUAGGAUGAACCCAUAUGGGAUUAGCUAGUAGGUGGGGUAAAGGCUCACCUAGGCGACGAUCUCUAGCUGGUCUGAGAGGAUGAUAAGCCACACUGGGAAUGAGACACGGCCCAGACUCCUAAGGGAGGCAGCAGGGGGGAAUAUUGCACAAUGGGCGCAAGCCUGAUGCAGCCAUGCCGCGUGUGUGAAGAAGGCCUUAGGGUUGUAAAGUACUUUCAGCGGGGAGGCGUUACCCGCAGAAGAAGCACCGGCUAACUCCGUGCCAGCAGCCGCGGUAAUAC